rnacentral:rRNA from 1 species
CUACGGGGGGCAGCAGUGGGGAAUAUUGGACAAUGGGGGAAACCCUGAUCCAGCAAUGCCGCGUGUGUGAAGAAGGCCUGCGGGUUGUAAAGCACUUUCGGUUGGGAGGACUGCUUCUAGCACUAAUAUUGUUGGAAGUUGACGUUACCUUCAGAAGAAGCACCGGCUAACUCCGUGCCAGCAGCCGCGGUAAUACGGGGGGUGCAAGCGUUAAUCGGAAUUACUGGGCGUAAAGCGCGCGUAGGCGGCUAGAUCAGUCGGGUGUGAAAGCCCCGGGCUUAACCUGGGAACUGCAUCCGAUACUGUCUAGCUUGAGUACAGGGGAGGAGAGUGGAAUUCCACAUGUAGCGGUGAAAUGCGUAGAUAUGUGGAGGAACACCAAUGGCGAAGGCAGCUCUCUGGCCUGAUACUGACGCUGAGGUGCGAAAGCGUGGGGAGCAAACAGGAUUAGAUACCCCGGUAGUU